CAUUUUCUUUUUGUUGCUCCUCUUCUUCUUCAAGUGGUACCUCUUCCCAAUAAUUUUCAGUGACAGUUCCAUCCUCCGCCACGUCGUAGCCAACCCCCAUUCGAUAACGGCGUUUAUGAACAUUCCUAGCCAUGGCAAUUGUUUGCUGGACAAAGGGCUCCCAUGAUAAGGUGCCAUCCAUGACUACAUCACGGCCUUCAUUCAGUGCAGCCACAAGGAGUGAUGAUGCUGCAUUAGUAGACGAUUGGUGCACCUAUUUUUGAGUAAAUUUGUCAAUGUUUCAGAAUAUUGUGAUCUAGACAAAAAGUACAUAUGACUGCAUAGGUAAAAAAUUUGUAGGCACUGGGCUCUUUUAUAUAAGAAUGUGUGUGUGAAUUAAUUAAAGAGAGUACCAGCUCAGCAGUUUGAAGCAUGUCAUGGCGAUGAGAGCUAAGGGCUCUGUAAAUGACAUCGGUCUCUUUGAAAGCAUCUGCCUCCACUACCACACAGUUUGCUUCUGCUCCUGACCAGAAUGCGCUGCCAAUCAUACAUCCAAUAUAAGCUCAGGGAUCAUUGUUGUAAAACUGAGAAUAUAAUAAAAGAGUGGAAGUGAGAGUACUCUUUCAUAAUCUCCUUGAGGACGGUGCUCUUGCCGGCACCCAUCCCACCACCCAUGAGGAGGAGCACUGGGCUCCUCUCACUGAGGGCCACCGGCAUCAUCACCUCUGUGCAACCACUAGAUCGCGCCACCCCUAUGGCUUUCAUCUCCUCCAACAGUGUAUGGAACACCCUCUUCACUUUCAAGUCCUUCGUCACCUUCUCAAACCUCUGUUUCCUGUCAACAACCCAUACAAAGAAAGAUGACAACAACAAUAAUCAUGUAUGGAAACAGUAGAGUGAGUAGGAGAGCUGGAGAGGUGUAUAAAUGACUCUUAAUUUUGCAAUUAUUGACAUGGAAUGAUUUGAAAUGAUAGAUUUGUCCACCUAACAAUCAGAUCAGUUGUGACAUGACCUGGGCUCAGUGUGACUCUUUACCAAAAAAAAAAAAAAAAAAAAAGAAGAAAAGAAAGUGACAUCUUUUUCAUAAUUUUAAUAAAUGGGGAAGCCAAUAUUUUUUUAAUUCUUUUAUAAUAUUAAUAAAGAAUAUUUGAAAUAUGAUUCACAAGUAUUUGUCAAUGUCAGCAAAUUUGUAAGAAAGCAAAUUAUUUAACUAAAAAUAACUUGUGUGGAUGUCAAUAAUUGAAAGUGCUUUCAUAAAAAUAAAAUAAAAAUUGAAACACAUUUGAAAAUCAAAAAGUCGUUUCAAAAAACAAAAUAUACAAAUUAUUUAACUAAAAAUAACUUGUGUGGAUGUCAAUAAUUGAAAGUGCUUUCAUAAAAAUAAAAUAAAAAUUGAAACACAUUUGAAAAUCAAAAAGUCGUUUCAAAAAACAAAAUAUAGUAUUUUCAGUUUUUAAAAAUAGAAAACAAAAUACUUUUAUAUAUUAUCUUUUAAUUAUUUUUAUUUAAUUAUAAUAUAUAAAAUAAUUAAAAAUAAAGCAUCCCAUAUAAAUUAUAUUUUUAAAAUAUAUUUUAAAAUAUUAAAAACAGAUUAAAAACAUUCCCAAAUCAACCUCAAGGUUUCAAAAAUUGUCAAUUAUUUUUAAAAAUAAUUUUAUGUUUUUUAGAAAAAAAACAAAAUAAAAGAAUUUUUUUUUGACAAAUAUAAAAUAGAAAAAUAGAAAAACAUGAUGUUUUAGAGAAAAUUUUCUUAUUUAUUUUUACUUGUUUUUUUUUAAAAUAUAUUUUAAAAAAUAAUUACGAAUAAUUGAGAAAAAAAAAAGUAGCACAUCUGAAACUAUCGUCUAAAAGUGUUUUGGAAAUUAAAAUGCUGCUCAGACAUGAGUGUAAAGGAUUCACCAUAAAGGGGAGGACUAAACAAGGAAUAAAGGAUGCCCUCGAGAAGAUGCUUUAGCUAAGAGAUAGAAAAGGAUAAAUGCAAUGGUCAUCAUGGUCAUCACAUGACUUUAGCUCAAUUAUAAUAUCUACAUGUCAUCUUCUUCAAGAGACGAAGACCAGCAACCCAUCUUUAAAGAAGACAAAUUGAAUUGAACUAGCUGGUUGAUUAGUACCUUUACCUUGUAGCUGCCAUCACAAAGUCCUUGAGCUUCGUCUUCUGCUCAUCAGACUCUACACUCAGCACCUGCAACUCACCCCCCAAAACAACAACAUCAAUCACUGCUCAGAAUCCAUAAGAGGAAGCCCAGAAAAAAAAAAAAAAAAUUGAUGCUCUGUCUGUCUUUGUUUUGAAUUAUGCACCUGAUUGAUCAUAAAAGAAGCUUGGGUCCAGUGAAAUGCAAAAUAACUAAGGAAACACCUCUCAAACUCCUCUACCAGUUUUAUGUAGAGAGACUUUGCGUCUGGUAGGCUUGAAAAGUACUCAUAGAUGUUUUGAUUGCACCCUUUUGAUUUCUUGAGAUAGUCAUAAGCUAAUUUGCAGAACCGGGGACACUCAUCUGGGUCUGGAAAUCCCAUUUGCCUAGCUGCAUACCAGACGGUUAUGUGUAUUUGACAAAUUAAGUAAGCUUCUUCAGGCUAAGGUAGUUGUGGUUUUAUCUUUAUCUUUAUCUUUAUCUUUACCUACGUAAUGGGCGAACCUUUCAAUCUUUCCGACACGGCCGGACCCGGUUCUCACCAGGCGUGGAGCAAAACUCAGAUCGUUCUCCGGGUUAAUCUUCCGCCGGCGGUAAUGGAUGGCUGCCUUGACCGUCAAUCCCAGAGAUGAAGCCAAAAGGAGUGUGAGAAUAACUUUGCCGUGAACAUCUGCAACAAGUAAAGAAGUUAAGGUCACUAUCAGUGGUUUAAGAUCAGAUGGACUAAAAGAGAAAGAGAGAGAAAGAGCUGGAGAGGUCGGAUUACCUAGCUGCUGCAUCUUGAAAAGGAUUCUAAGGGGAGGAUAUUGAAGGAAGGCAUGAGGCUUUGGUUUCAUUUAUAGCCCAACAUUACUUUUUGGUCUCUCAAGGGGCCUUGAUUCACCUAGCACACAAAGAAGCGAGGAUUUUUUAUAAGAGCACGGCAGUUUUUAAAAAUAAUACCUAAAUUAUCGUGGUAAAAAAAAAAAUUCCAAAUUUACGUAGUUUUGUCCAGCGAAAAGAGAGAAGAAAUUUAUAAAUGAGAAAUCGUCUCUUCAACAGGUGAUUUUCACCAAAAAAAAAAAGAGAAGAGAAAUCGUCUCUUGAAAAGACGAUUUUCACCAAAAAAAAAAGAGUGAGAAAUCGUCUCUUGAAGAGACGAUUUCCACAAAAAAAAAUAAAAUUAAUUCUCACUUUAAAAUUAAAAUAAAAAAUAAAAACAUUUAAGUGGGAAAUCGUCUCUUAAAAAGACAUUUCCAAAAAAUUAAAAAAAAAUAAAUUAAAUUCUCACUUUAAAAUUAAAAAAAAAAAAACAUCUAAGUGGGAAAUCUCCUCUUAAAGAGAAGAUUUCCAUAAAAAUAAAUAAAUAAAUAAAUAAAUUCUCACUUUAAAAUUAAAAAAAAAAACCUUGUGGGAAAUCAUCUCUUUAAGAGACGAUUUCCGGCAAAAGUGAGAAAUUCUCACUUUAAAAUUAAAAAAAAACAAAAAAAAAACCAUGUGGGAAAUCGUCACUUCAAAAGAUGAUUUCUCACAAAAGUCAUCCUCCCCCCAACAAAGCCAAAAGUGAGAAGUUCUCACUUAAAAAACCAAAAACAAAACUUUUAAAUUUUUUUUUUCUAUUUAUACAAUAAUUCGAUUAUUAUAAAUAUAUAUUAUAAAAUUAAUUAUUUUUAUUUACUAAAUUUAAUUUAUAAAUAAUAUACUAAAUUUAAUAUAAGAUAAAUAAUAUUUAUAUAUUGUUUUUUUCUUUCACUUUGGACUUAAAAAAAAAACUAUUAUCAAUUUUAUGUGAAAAUUGAGUUUAAAAAAAUUGUUAUUAAUUUAUUAAAUAAAAAAUAAAAAAACAAAAGCGUCAAAAACGAUUUUAAAAAAAAAAAAACUUUAAAAAUCCAUUUUUCUAUUUCAUAUUAUACUUAUACAAUAAUACAAUUAUUAAAAAUAUAUAUUGUAAAAUUAAUUAAAUUUAGUAUACUAUUUAUAAAUUAAAUUUAAUAAAUAAAAUUAAUUAAUUUUAUAAUAUAUAUUUUUAAUAAUUGUAUUAUUGUAUAAGUAUAAUAUGAAAUAGAAAAAUGGACUUUUAAUUUUUUUUUUAAAAAUCGUUUUUGACGUUUUUGUUUUUUUAUUUAAUAAAUUAAUAACAAUUUUUUUAAACUCAAUUUUCACAUAAAAUUUAUAAUAGUUUUCUUUUUUAAUUCCAAUGAAAGAAAAAAACAAUAUAUAAAUAUUAUUUAUCUUAUAUUAAAUUUAAUAAAUAAAAUUAAUUAAUUUUAUAAUAUAUAUUUAUAAUAAUCGAAUUAUUGUAUAAAUAGAAUAAAGAACAGAUUUUUUUUUUUUUAAAUGUUCUGUUUUUUUUUUAAGCGAGAAUUUUUCACUUUUAGCUUUUGUUGGGGAGGGUGAAAGAGAUGAUUUUUUUUUUUUAUAUUAAAUAGCAUAUUAUUUAUCUUAUAUUAAAUUUAGUAUAUUAUUUAUAAAUUAAAUUUAGUAAAUAAAAAUAAUUAAUUUUAUAAUAUAUAUUUAUAAUAAUCGAAUUAUUGUAUAAAUAGAAUAAAUGAUGGAAAAGAAAAAGGAUUUUUAAAGGUUUUGUUUUUGGUUUUUUAAGUGAGAAUUUCUCACUUUUUGCUUUGUUGGGGGAGGGUGACUUUUGUGAAGAGACGAUUUACCACAGGAUUUUUCUUCUAUUUUUUAUUUUUUAUAAUUUUAAAGUGAGAAUUUCUCACUUUGGUGAAUUUUGUGAAGAGACGAUUUCCCACAUAAGUUUCUUUUUUUAAAAAAAUUUUAAAGUAAGAAUUUUUUUUUUUUUUUUUAAGAGACGAUUUCCACACUUAUCUAUAAAAAAACUUAUCUAACCUCGGGGGAAAAAAGGUCUCCUUAAAUCACCUAAAGAAAUUUAUCAAAAGAAAUAUGAGGAAAGAUGAUUAUCCCACCAAUUAAGGUUUCAACAAACAUCACCCAUGGAAAAGAAAAGUCUGACCAUAAAUAUCAACCACCAUCCUCUCCUUUUUACUCUAUCCACCAGACUUCAAUUUGAAAAGAAAAUGGGGACCUACACCCCCACACUUUAAUUAUGUGGUUGAGUAUAGUAAGGCCAGAAUCCGAUUCUUAGCUCAUGAUGUCAUAUCUCACAUUAUUACUCUUGAUUCAAACUUAGGAACGGUUUUUUCGUAUAUUAGUUUUAGGAUAAGGUUGGGAUAAACAUAAAUGGAUUUAAUACAAGUUUGAGAAAUUUGUUAGGACUCAGGUAUAAUUUUAUUUUUAUUCACCUUUAAUAGGAUGAAGUUAGGAUAAAUAUAAACAGAUUUAGAAUAGGUUUUAGUAUUCUUUUAACUUGCUCCAAUUAUAUAUAAUAUUAAAUAAAAAUUUAUUUUUAAAUUUUUAUUUUUUUAAUAUGUAUAAUAUUAAUUUAGUUAUAAAUUAUAUUUAUUUUAAUAAAACUUAAUAUUUUAAAAGUAAAUUUAAAAAAUAUAUAUAUAAAAAUUGAAAGAAAAUUAAAAUAAUUAAAUGAGACACAACAUCACAUAUAUGAGAAUUUUUUAUACUUAUCUCGUUUUUUAUUUAAUUUUUAACGAAUAUAAAAAUUGACUUUAAUAAACAAGAUAGGAUUCCAAUAACGUAGGUCCCAAAACGUUGCAAACCCAAACCAUAUUCAAAGUUCAGAUCAUCACACCCAUAAGCCAUGUGAUAAAGAAUCAUCCAACCCAUAUUUUAUAUAUCAAAUCAGCUUUUUCUUUAUUAAGUGGACCAACCAUGUAAUUAUUCCAACUUUAUUUUUGACCUUUUCAAUAUUUCAUAACUUAUAUCAUAUUCUUUAGCUUUGGUUGCUUCUCAUUUAAAACAGCAAUUAAAUUUAAUUUUUUUUGUUAAUUAUUUACCGCGAGGAGAAAAUUGGGUAUUUUCUUGAAAAAAAAAGUACUAAAUUUCAAGAAAAUCAAAUAUAAUUUUGACCAAACGAUGAGAGAAAGGAAAAGGUUUUAUUCUCAAAUUUUUAAAAAUAGUUUUUAACUAUAAAAAAGUCAAAUCAUUUGAUUUAUUAAGAGGAUUGUACAUUGUAAAUAGUGAAGAUAAAUUUGUAAAGUUCUUUAAUUAUUAUUUAUUGUCAAAUCAUAAAGAAAGAAUUGUACGACUAAAUCGAAAAAAUCAAUCAACUAGGAUCUGUUUGGAUGGUAGCAAUUCGAUGCGGACAAGGAUAUAAUCACAUGACGAACAAGGAUUUGAAAAAUGUUGCCAGGAAUAAAAGGAAAUCGAAAGAAAGACAUGGGAAUUUGGGCUUAAGUGCACCAACGCACCCGAUAGUGAUGACAGUCUAUGUAGAAUGUCUACUACGUAGUUCAAGUCAUCUUAUACGAAUGAUAGUCAUGUAAAUAAUAUAAAUUCAAAUUCUAUAUCAUUAUUAAACUAUAUUUUUAUUUAUAAACUAUAGGAUAAAUAUAAAAUAAAUGGAUGAUGAUUGUUUCAAUAAUUAAUGUCAUGAUAAAUUUUAUGCAUAAUUAAAAAAAUAUAAAUUAUUUUUUUUAAAAGAUAAUAUUUUUAGUAAAUAAAAUAAAAUAAUAAAUAGGACUAUUUUAAUACAUUUAUAAGUCAUGUUUGUUAUUUAAAUAUAAAUAAUAAUAUUUUCAUAUAUGUUAAAUACUAAAGAUAUUUUAUUUUAAUUUAUUACAAACUAAGUAAUAUUUUUAAAAUCGUACUCAUUAUUGAAUCGAAAAAGUUAUCGAUUCACAGUUCAAUGAUGGGACCGACACUCGAACGGACACUCAAACGGUGGUCGAACCGAUGACAUCAUAAAAUAUAUAAUUUAUAUAUUAUUAAAAUAAUAAUAAUAAUAAUAAUAAUAAUAAUAAUUUAUAUAUUAUUUUAAAAUUAACAUUUUAUUUGAAAAAUCAGAAAAUUAAUUUCAAAUUAAAAUUUUGAAUUAAAACCGGAAUUUUAAUUUUAAUUUUGAAAUUUUAAAAUUUAUUUUUAAAUCAAAAACUUAUUUUAUAAUCAUAAAUUUAUUUAAAAUUAUAAUAUUUUCAUUCAUUUAAAUUAAAAUCACUAGUUUUAAAAAUCAUGAAGUAAAAAAAAUAAUAAAUAUAAAAUAAAAUAAAUAAUAAUGUUGAUGGAGUAAAAAAAAAUUGGAAAAGGCGGCCAAAAAGGUGGGAAAAUCUCGUAUCUUCCUUAAGAAGGAAGGGUUUUGGGGGCAUCGAAAAAGGGGAAAAAUCUGGUGGGGAAGGGUGAGGAAGAAUGAAGGGUUUUGGCACCAAAAAAGGAAAAAAAAUUGGGUGGGGGCACUGCGAGGGGCUAGGAAGAAGGAUGGGUUGUAGGGAGUGGCGGCGCUGAGGUGGGUUGAAUUGGAUGGGGGAGGAGAACUGUUCAGUUCACCCCCGAAAUUGACCGGGUCAUCCGGUUCACUGGUUUGAUCAUCGGUUCCGACAAUCCGACGCUGGUUCAAAGGCUCCCAACUCAAAUGGCCAAACCAAUCGGUUUAAUCUGAUUUUUAAAACAAUGAAAAUAAAUAUAAUUCUUUUAAAAAAUAAAAAUAACUAUUUUUUUUCGUUACAUGUAUAAAUAAGUCCUCAAUUACUAUCGUGAUAUUUUGACUGGUUUUGUUUAAAUUCUCUAAAUUAUUGGUAUAACUUUUUAAUUUUGAAUUAUUUUUAAAAAUUAUUAAUGAAUCAAAUAUGUUAAGCUUUAUAUGAUUUUAAGUUUGUUUGCCUCCUUGAAAACUAGAAGAAAUAUUAUUGUAUGUUGAGGAAAAAUUGAUAUAAUCAUUUUGAAUUAAUUUUGAUUCGAGAAAUUUUAGUAUUAAUUGGUUCAAAUUUUGAGUUUUAAAUAUUUUUAAAAAUUAUUACACAUUUUAAAAAUUCAAUACAUUAAAUCUUAUUUCAUUUAGAGUCCUUUUACCUAAUAAGAAAAUUUAAGAAAUUUUACGAACUCAUUGGACGAAUUACAUUUUUUCCGAUAGAAUAAAUAGUACAUGUCUAAAAAUGGGGUGACACAGGCUUAAAUAAGGGUUGAUAUAUGUGUAAAUAAAGAGUAGCACACUUCCAUACAUUUUCUUAAAUUUUCUCAAAAUUUUUCACCAAAAUUUCAUGCACCAAAAUUGGUUUCGAAGAAAAACUAAUACAAUUAUUCUUGAAUAGUUUUGUUCCAAGAUAUUCAGUGUUAAUAGGCUUAGUUUUCUGUAGACCCCCAUUUGGGUGUCAUUUUCUACAGCCAUUUUUGCCAAGUGUCGCAAUCCCAUAGGGCCACGUGUCGCCUUGUGGUUGGUGGUCAUAGAAGCAGAUGGUGGAAUGGAGGAGCAAGUGAGAGUUUGACACGUGGCAUGGAGAUAUUUUGGCCGUUAGGAGGAGCGUAUAUUUUCUGUUAGAGGGGAUUUUUGCAGGGCAGGUCGGCUGGCCAGAGGGAGGGUGCUUUUCAGAAGCUGCUGCAGGGUAGUGAGGGAAGAGGAGCUUUUGUUCGGUUAGAGGGGCUUCAGAGAGGAAAGGAAAAAGGAAGGGAGAGAAGGAGGAGAGAAAGAAACAGAGCAUGUUUCUGGAGAGGGGGUGCUGAUUUUGCAAGGAGCAAGCUAAAGGAGAGAGGUUUUUCAGGGAGUCUCGGCAAGAGCUAUUGAGGAGAAGCAGCAUAUAUACUUACCAUCAUUUUCCUAGUUCCGGUAUGAUUUCAACUUGCUUUACACUUCCUACCUCGAACUGUUUUCCUCAGCUUCUUGUUAUGUAUGGUUCCUCUUGAUGCUUGAAGACCAUUUGUGCAUCUUCCUGUUCUGGAAUGUUUUGAGUAUAGAUCCAUCGCUGUUUUUAGUUCACUUUAUUUUAUUUUUAUUUCUUUUGAGAUCAUGCCCAUGUUUCCUUUUGGUUCCACCUAUACCCCUCUCAUUGACGUUUAUGGAGUGGGUUGAGACUUAACAGUUUUCUUGUUAUAUCUAUGCAUGCUCUGUUUUCUUUUCAUCUUUUUCGUUUAGUUUUUUUUGGGGAUGUUGAGUAUCACAUUUGUACUGGUCAUCUGGGUUGAGAUGUUUCUGGAAAAGCUCAGGUUCGUUCCAUAGAUGCAGCUGCAUGAGAAAUUAAGCAAUGGAUUCUUAUGGAAGCAAUAAGCUACAGCCCAGUGUUGCUUAGUACCCAGAGUAAAUGUCUCUCGCGUUUAUUUAUCAUUGGGAGUCCUUGGGAGAGAUUGCUCCUAGAUGUCACAAGAGGAUCCCAGUUCUACGCCUCUGUGGAAGGAAACCUUAAAUGUGAUAAUAUGGUUCGUAUCUGAAACUAAGUAUGGGAAAUGAUUGUUUCUAUAAUCGUAUAUAAAUUGGGCGCCAAAGGAUGAUAUCCAGACCAUCGCCUGGUUAGUAAGUGACCUUCACAGGAUUUAAAGAUUAAACAAGCUUUGCCAGAUGGGGGAAUAUUUCAAGAUCAGAAGCAAUUUUCGAUGGAUGAAGGUGAUAUCGUGAAAGGUUCCUCAUGAAAAUAUCUUCAAAAAUCAUAGAUCCCAGAAGUCAAACGGGAAGAAUUCUGGAUCCUGUACGCUUGAGACUGUCCCUGGAAGAAAGUGGAAUGUGGAUGGAGGGCAUGAAAUACCAUGAUGCAUUCCCGUUCUCAAUCAUGGGCCCACAUGCAUAAUUGCAAUUUGCGUGGCCGUUUUCCCUCCCACUGCUUUUUCAACCAUCCUAUAUCCUCCCAUGUACACAUAGCCCAUGCACACAACCCCUAUGAUCCUUCUCAGGCCUCCUUAUAAGAUUCAUACCACCACCUGUCCCAUUAAUCUCAUACCCAUUGAUCAUCUCUCUAUACUCACAUCAAACCCCACAUUCCAUACCCCACCAUACUCGUCCUUCAUAACCCAUUUCUAGACCCAUUAAUACCCUCACAUGUCAACCACUGCCCUUCACUCACUAUCCCACAUGCACGCCCAUUAUUUCCCCACGUCAUCACCUUUCCAUCAUGCUUCGUGUCAAUACCCUUCAUACCCCUAUCCCACUACCCAUUCCAUUAAUUCCAUGUCCAUACCCGUCUUCGUAUUCCUGUCACCACCAUCCUACAUCUACAUUCUUCACGCUGGUCAAGUUCAUUACUUCCCCAUCCCUCGUGCUCACUGAAGUUGUCAUUAAACCCAUUGUUCUCUUCCACCUCCUUCAUUCUUGAACUCUCUCUAUCUCCUUUUGCUAUGAAGACGGAGCUACCGAGGGAACAGAUCAGAAUGUUAAUGGCAGAUGCCUCGGAAAAAUCAGCGCAUGCUAGCGCAAGCAGUUCCUCUUUGCAGUCGUCGUCAACGCCCUUCUCUAUGGUCAUCACCAACACAGAGAUGAAACAUGAUGGCGUGAGAGUGAUCAAUCUCAACCAUGGAGACCUGACAACGCAUGAGAGGUUUUUGGUUACUAAAGUGUACUGUGUUCUGCGUGCUGUGAAGUUUCUUGGAAAUCCUGAUGAUGGUGGAAGUAUAGUUCGGGGUUUACGGAUUUCUACCAUGUUCACUCAUCACCUGAGGAUUGUUGUGGUGGGCCGCGAGAUGCUCAGUGGAGUUUCAGGAAUGGAGGAUCCCUGGAAGAGCAAAACUCGGUCUCUAUAGUUUCGGUUCCGAGACUGCUUCCGAAUCACCGUCAAUCGUCAUUGCCGCCAUUGCUACUCAUUGCAAGAAUAUGACGGGGCUUGACAUACAGGAGAAUGGCAUUGAUGACCUUGGUGGGGGUUGGUUAAGUUGCUUUCCCGAAAACUUCACGUCACUAGAAGUGCCGAAUUUUGUGAAUCUGAGCAGUGAUGUCUCUUUUGAUGCUUUUGAGAAACUAGUGAGUAGGUGCAGAUCUUUAAAAUUCUUGAAGGUUAACAAGAAUAUCACCCUGGAACAAUUACAGAGGUUGCUUGAGUGUGCUCCUCAACUGACAGAGCUUGGUACUGGGUCCUUCCAUCAAGAGCUCACAACCCACCAGUAUGCAGAGCUUGAAAGUGCAUUCAACAACUGCAAGAAUCUAAAUACUCUCUCUGGUUUGUGGGAAGCUACUCCACUGUAUCUCUCAGUUCUAUACCCUGCCUGCAUGAAUUUGACGUUCUUGAAUUUGAGUGAUGUUGCUCUGCAAAGUGGUGAACUUGCUAAGCUUCUUGCCCACUGUCCAAAUCUACAGCGCCUUUGGGUUCUGGAUACAGUAGAAGACAAAGGGCUGGAAGCUGUUGGAUCUAGCUGUCCUUUGCUCGAGGAACUACGUGUCUUCCCUGCUGAUCCAUAUGAGCAGGAUGUUGUCUAUGGGGUGAUUGAGAUGGGUAAUGACGUCUUUUCUAUGUUACGCUCCAUGCUCACGGACAUGCUCGUGCCGAGACUAAAAGGUUGCUUCGAGAUCAGCAAGCAAAACGACAUGAAAUAAAUGAUUUGAUGAAGCAAGUUGAAGAUAAACUGCUUAGGAAAAGCAGUGAGGAAUAGGACCGAGUCAAUUCUGCAGUUCAGUCUAUUUGAUGCACCAUCCAGACUCACUGAGUCACGUGACCAGUUAGAAAAGCACCUGGAAUUCCCAAUGGCUCCACUCGGAACUUGGACUUGUUGGUAUGGGACCUGCAGGCAGUGUCUAUCAGAAGCCUUAGCAUGCACAAGUCAACUGGGUCCUAUCCCUACCAGGCCAUGCAUUGGCCAUCUUUAGUAUGGGCCACCUUUGGGCCACGUGACAUUCUUGGUUUUCUUUUUAUUUGAUUUUGAAAAAGGUUUUCUCAAACCCCAUUUUGUAAAUAUCUUUCUCAAAAUUCUGAUUUUCAAGUAAUUCCAAUUUUCUCAUCUUUCAUCCUUAGAAUUUUCAGGAUCACCUAAGAGUCUCAAUUUCAAUAAAAUUUGGCCGCCAUUUUCUUUUCGGCGAGCAGCUUUCGAAUUUUUCAUGAUUUUAAAAUGAUUUAAAAUAAGCUAGAAUAAAAUUCCGUAAUUCCAAGCAGGGGAAUUUAUGGAAUUAAUUCAUGCAAAAAUGAAUUGGGUCUUGGUGGGGGCCCUACAUAUGAGAUUCCAUGAUUGAUUGAUUUAUUUGUCAUGCAUGAUUGAUUUACUCUAUUCCUUGAUAUGUGCUUAAUUAUAUAUGUUCAUUGUUCACUAACCAUGUUUCAUGAUAGCGCAUUUGUGAUUGCCGCCCAAGUACGCAUCUAUUCAUAUUUUGUUCAUUCUUUAUACAUGCUUUGUUUCUCAUAUGUGCAUGAUUGAUUCGAGUAUUUAUUGAUUUUCUCAUUGAUUGCCAUGUCAGCUUCAUCUCAUUAGUAGAGACCCGAUUUUAGGGACUUAGAGGGGUGCCACGGUUUUUACCGUACCUUCCCGAUAAGUAACCUGACCCCCGAACCCGAUUCGGUUUUUCACAUACCACCUUUUCCAAAACAAGGAGUCACACUUAGGGUUUUUCUUUCUUAUUUUGUUUACCCUUUAAAAAUAAAACAAAAAUAAGUGGCGACUCCAAGUCAUUUUCAAAUAAUCAAUAAAAAUCAUUUUUCAAAUAAAAAACGAGUUUCGCCAUCGAGUGGGAAAUGCAUUCGAGCAAUCGAAAAUGCGGGGUCCACAUUUUCAUAUUCUGAAUAAUUUUUGAAAAUUAAUGUACAUGUGAAAGAAAUGUGUUAAGUCUCACUUCAGUUGGAGUUUAUUUAUCUCGUGAUUUUUUUAUUUUUUAUUUUGAAAAAAUUAACCUAGAUAUUGAAAAGAAAAAAUUUAAAACUUUUAUGGGGAUUUCAUAUAUAAAAAAUAUUGAAGCUUCUUAAAUUAUAUGUAUUUCAGUCUUGUGCUUAAAUAUAAAAUAGUCAAAUUAAGAUAGGCUUGAAGCCAUCAAAGAUAUCACAAUCAAUUUGUCAACCAUCUUAUAGUUACCCAAAAAUAAUUAUUAAGUAUGGAAACGUGGUACCAUUGGAUCUUAAUAAUUGUGGCCAUGGCCCAAUAUUGGAACACGACUUUGAAAGUUGAAAAUGAGGAGUUAUGAAUUGUUAUCCAAAUCCCUCUCUUUUUAUAAAUUCUCCAAGCUAAUUAUGUGAAACAAAAAUUAAUUUAAUUUUAAUAUUUUUCAUCAUGAAAUUAUUAUUAAUAUAUCUUAUAUUAUUAAAAAAAUUAUUUUUUGGAAAUUAUAUUUUCUUAAAGAGGAGAAAAAAAAAAAAAUAGAAAGAAGAGAAAAGUAAAAUAUAAAUUUUAACAUAUUUUUUUUAAAGAAAUUUAUAUGAAGAUUUAUCUUUCACUUUCUCGUACUUUAAUUUUUUUUUAUUAAACAAUUAAAAAAAUUUAAACUUAAGUUAGUUUGCUCUUUCCUUUUCUAAUUUUUUUUUCCCAUUAUUUCAAGAUUCUAGUAAACCAAGCUUAAAAAUUGACAUUAUAAUUAUUUUCUAAUUUAAAAAAGUGAAAAUAUCACACCAAUCUAUUUGGGGUUAUUAGAGUAUGAUAUUAGUUUUGUUAAAUUCAUGUGCUAUCCACUAAGAUCUUUGAAAAACAAAAAUUUAGAAAAAUACACUUCAUUCAAAGUUUUUAAAAGACCAAACACACACACAAUCCUAUUUUUCAAGUCUCUAUAUUUAACAUUAGCUAAUUAGAUUUUUUUUUUCUAGAAAUAUUUCAUUUGUUUAUUUUUAAAUGUUUUUUCAGAAUAAAAAGCUGAUCCAACGCCAAUAAGAAUCAAACUUAGGGGUGGACAAUUGGUGUGGGAGGUGGCAUAUGGAUGGUGCUCCACUUCCUCCUUCGCUGUGAGUUAGUGGCCAACAUGUUUUCUCAUUGCCUUAGAAAGCUUUAAACAUUGUCACCCUGCACUUGGAGCCCAUUUGGUUUAAUACUUUAAAAUUUUUAUUAUUUAAGUAUUAAAAAUUCUAAAAACACUUUUUAUAAUCACUAACAAUUUGUAUAUGUGGAGAUAACAACGAAACAGGAUUAGGAUAAAGACGUUUAUUCAAAAUAAUUCUCAUCCAUGAUCUAUUUAAAAAAUUAAACGGGAUGGGGCGGGUAUGAGAAAUUCUCAUACCAGCCCCACCCCAUUCAAUUUUUUUAUUUUUUAUUUUUAUAAAAAUUACUUUUAAAUUUUUAAUUAUAUUAAAAGAAAUAUAUUUUAUAAAUAAUUAAAUUAUUAUAUUUUUUAUAACUUAUUUUAUUAAAAAAUAUUUUAUUAUUAUCUAUAUAUUAAAAAUAGUAAAAUAAAAUUUAAUUUAAAAUUUUAAUUUGAUAUAUAAUCAGGGUGGGAUAGGAUUCUUGUGUACUGUGGCGUAUCAUUAAGGGAUUUUCAAGAAUAAGAUAUCUUUUGAAGGAAGUUGUAAAAAAUACAUUUGAAUCAUAAUUCAAAUAUAACGGUUUGAAAACUUGACUGGAAAAAUCCUAUCGAGGGUGGAAGGAACUAUCAUAAAAUUUAGAGUUUCCAUUUUAUCUUCUCUUUUCUAUUUAUUUUAUAAGCAAUUAUUUUAUUAUUAUUAUUUUCUAUAUAAUUGGUUAAAUUGUCUCUUGUGUUUAUCAAAGUUUAUAUAUAUAUUAAAAUUUAUUAAAAAAAGAAUAACAAAGUGAUUAAUAGGCUAAUAGCCAAUUCACCCCCUCUGUGCUGAUGGUUUUUAGGGUUAUGGUUGACAAAAAUGAAUUUGGGAAUUAGGCCGUGUUUGUUUAUUCUGUAUUUUGUUUUUAUUUUCAACGAAAAUAGAAAAUAAGUUGAAGAAUAUACUUGAAUACUUAUUUUUCUAUUUUUAUUGUUUAGAAAAUUAUGUUCAAAAUUUGGUGUUUUCAUUUUUUUAAGAGAGAUGAAUAAAAUAAUUUAAAAUAUAUAAAAGGGAUAUGAAUAUUUACCAAUAAUAUCAUAAUAUUUUUAUUUUCUUUCUAAUUUUUACUAAUAAUUUUAUAUUUUUAUAUUAGAAAGUAAUUUAAUUUAAUAAAUCAAAAUUUGUACAAUUGGUCAAUUCCUUACUUAAUUAUAGAUGAAUUAAAAUUUUCUAUUACACUACUAAAAGUUAUCUAUUUCGCCAUAUAUUAGGAAUAAUCACAUAAUUAAAUUAAAAUCCACAUUGGCUACUUUAUCUUAUAAUUUAAACAUUUUUAAUUCAAUAAAAAUAAGCUGAUUCACUUCAACCCUUUUAAACACCUGACACCUGACUUGCUAUAAUUCAAACAUUUUUAGAUUUAUUUGUAACAUUUCGGUUGAAUGAACAAUAACCUUGAAUUUAUAAUGGAGAAUAAGUAAUUUAAUAUUUAAAAUUAAUUUUAAUUUCGUAUUUUUAUUUGUGCCUAAAACACCUUCAUACAAUUACCUAGAUUACUUAAAAUGACUAAUUUUAUUGACAUCCAUUGAUUUUUGAACAUAUAUAUAUAUAUAUAACCACUAUUAAUUUAAAAUUUUGUUAAAUAAUUUUUCUAUCGGUUUCAUUUUUUAUUAUUUUUACUCAAAAUAAUAAAGAUAUUUGAUAAAAUUUCAAAGCAACGAUUUUAGAUGAACUUGAAGGAAGGUGAGUCAAAUUGAACCAUUAAUUAAAAAGAAUCAGAUGAGAGUAAAAAUUGAAUUUCUUUAUAAAACAAAUGAAAAAUUUAGUGUAAAUUCAUACAUAAAUUGAAAGUGUUCAAAAUGAAAAUACAUUGACAUAAGUAGUAUAGUGAAACCCCAAAACCAAAAACAAAUCAAAAUCGCACAGGACAGCUCCCAUGGAGGCCAAAGCCAAGGCUACACCGCGGCCAAAACUUCGACUGUAACGUCGGCGAGAACGAAAGUGGAGGGACCGUCGAAGUCUGCGAAGAAUGCUCCUGUUAAGGCUGUGAAGAAAGCUCCUGUUAACGCUUCGAAGAAGCCAAAGAGCAUAAGACCGCCGGUGAACAAGGCCAAGAAGUGAGGGAUCGAUGCGUUUGGCAGGUGGGUUUCUGUAAACUUGUGGAUAAACUAGGGUUUGUUAACGCAUCUUCCGUCAUCAAACAAGAAACUAGAAGAAUUUUAGUGCAACGCGCAAAAUAGAUGGAGUGAAAUUGGAUUAUCUAUAGCUAUAAUUCAGGGGUGAGUGAUGGAUAUUAAUAGAAAAGAUUACAGGGCAUGUUUAUGGACAAGGUUUUGGACGUUGAUGGGAGUGCAAAAGCUUGUCCCAUUGAAGAUUUCCCUUGCUGCAAACCUGUUUACUGCAUCGGUGUGGUGAGCUCCAUCCCAAAAUACAUGGCCGUUUCUGUCCUGGCACGGGGUUUUAUUUGGAAUGCAAGUUCCAGUUUUAUCGCUUAUAACGCAACAUGGAUUUCUUGAAUCAUUGAACCCUGUAUCAAAAAAUAAGCAACAAAAUGAAAUGAUUAUCUCCAUUACUUUUCAUGAAAGGCCAAUCUAAAGAAUUUGAUCAAUGUCUGAGAUCCACCAUUGCGAGAAGGAUUUUCCACAAGGCCAUGCACUAAGUUGAAGGUUUUCACAAGAACAAAGGUGGAGUGUUGGAGUGAGGAAGUGAGCUGAUUGAUGUUAGAAGCAAGCUUUGCAUUGAAGAUGGAUACUAAAUCAUUUGGUUUCUCUACGCAUUGGGUCUUUGUUCCAGCAUUUUCUAGUGCAGCAGUUGGUAGACAACCAAUGGGACCGAUCUCAAACACUACAAAAUUCCUGCCACCCAGACGGUACAUCUCCUGAAAAUCUCAGCAAAUGCAUUAUAGUUUUUUAGAUAUCAACCUUUUUUUUUUUUUUUUUUUUUUUACAAUUAUAUGUCUAAACCGGAAGAUGGCUUUAGAUUACCCGCAAAUGAUUUCCCAAUUCGUUCAGGAGGAGUUCAGCAAAUUGCUCAGGAUUGUAUAAGCGACUGCUGUUGGAGAAUUGAGGCAGAAGAUAAUUCAUUGCAUAGUCAUUACUGCCAAUGAGAACCAAGAAAAUAGAGCUUGACAAGUGACGUGAGAUUGCUUCUGGGGUUUUCAGGUGCUGAGGAAGGAUUGUAUCCACGGUUUUUCUGAACAACCUCACCUGCUCUGUCAGGUUCAAGUUGGAGCCCUGCAUGGAUUUUCAUUCACAAUUUUGCAGGUAGGAAAUUUGAAAACACAAACAAGGUUGAAAGCAAAUGCUGUGUUACCACAAUGGUGCCUGUCUCAGGAAGGAUGCCAGCUGAGGCUGAUGCAUAGUUAUAUCCUCUGGGGCUUUUUCCGGUAGCUGCCAUUGGCCCCAAGAAUGGAGGUGGUUGAUUUAUAUUGAGAAAUUGAGCUGCAUUUCAAAUNNNNNNNNNNNNNNNNNNNNNNNNNNNNNNNNNNNNNNNNNNNNNNNNNNNNNNNNNNNNNNNNNNNNNNNNNNNNNNNNNNNNNNNNNNNNNNNNNNNNUUCAAACUCCAUUACAUGAUUUUGCUGUCAGUGAAAGAAAACCAUAUCAAGGCAUUUUCAAAACAGAGGAAUUAACCAGCUCGCAGCUGAUCAUAACCAUGGCCAAAAUCAGAAAGUUGGUUUGAUGAGCUAGGCCAUGGUCGUAUUACUUCCCUUGGUACUACCAUUUACUUUCAAGUUUUCGAUUUUCUGAAUAGAUGUUCUGAGCUCCAGUUGAAGGCUCACUCUGGAAGGUGACAGAACAAUGUCUUUCCAAACCGAACCCUCUUCAUGUACGAGGUUUGGCUGCUUGUAAAGCUCAUAGAUGUUCUCUGCAUCUUCAUUUGAAGUGCUGAUUACUGUCAAACAUUUGAUUGCUUCAGGAUCAACCAGUAGCUUGUUGCCUCCCUCUUUCCAUGCUAUCAACUGCAUUUAUCAUACUAAUCAAGUUAGUAGACCACACUACAGACAAUCACGAAUUCAAGCACUGGUAGAUAUGUAUUAAAACCGAAAGUAUGAGAUCAAGCAUUACCGCGGGUGGCCUGCCCAUGGCAUUGGAGCAAUAUAGCCUGACAUUAUCGACAAGUUGGCAGUAACUCUGAAAGUUGCUUGCAAAUCUCUUGUGGGAUUUCACUUGCUCAUUCACCCUCACUGCUCUUCUUGUCUCUAUGGCUCUCCUGUUUUAAGUAGAAAAGAUACAAGCCUAUUAGUUGACAUUAUUACUUUUUCAAUAUUACCUACACAACCCUGUUCCUCUUAACAUAAAAAUGUUGAAAGAAAUUUUACCUGAUGCCUCUGACAACUGCUAGAAAAGGAUCACAGACCACUCCAACCAACUCUAUUCUGUAUGGUUUCCUUGCUACUUGUCCAUUUUCUUUUUGUUGCUCCUCUUCUUCUUCAAGUGGUACCUCUUCCCAAUAAUUUUCAGUGACAGUUCCAUCCUCCGCCACGUCGUAGCCAACCCCCAUUCGAUAACGGCGUUUAUGAACAUUCCUAGCCAUGGCAAUUGUUUGCUGGACAAAGGGCUCCCAUGAUAAGGUGCCAUCCAUGACUACAUCACGGCCUUCAUUCAGUGCAGCCACAAGGAGUGAUGAUGCUGCAUUAGUAGACGAUUGGUGCACCUAUUUUUGAGUAAAUUUGUCAAUGUUUCAGAAUAUUGUGAUCUAGACAAAAAGUACAUAUGACUGCAUAGGUAAAAAAUUUGUAGGCACUGGGCUCUUUUAUAUAAGAAUGUGUGUGAAUUAAUUAAAGAGAGUACCAGCUCAGCAGUUUGAAGCAUGUCAUGGUGAUGAGAGCUAAGGGCUCUGUAAACGACAUCGGUCUCUUUGAAAGCAUCUGCCUCCACUACCACACAGUUUGCUUCUGCUCCUGACCAGAAUGCGCUGCCAAUCAUACAUCCAAUAUAAGCUCAGGGAUCAUUAUUGUAAAACUGAGAAUAUAAUAAAAGAGUGGAAGUGAGAGUACUCUUUCAUAAUCUCCUUGAGGACGGUGCUCUUGCCGGCACCCGCCCCACCACCCAUGAGGAGGAGCACAGGGCUCCUCUCACUGAGGGCCACCGGCAUCAUCACCUCUGUGCAACCACUAGAUGGCGCCACCCCUAUGGCUUUCAUCUCCUCCAACAGUGUAUGGAACACCCUCGUCACUUUCAAGUCCCUUGUCACCUUCUCAAACCUCUGUUUCCUGUCGACAACCCAUACAAAGAAAGAUGAGAACAAUAAUUAUGUAUGGAAACAGUAGAGUGGGUAGGAGAGGUGUAUAAAUGACUCUUAAUUUUGCAAUUAUUGACAUCGAUAGAUUUGUCCACCUAACAAUCAGAUGAGUUGUGACAUGACCUGGGCUAUUUUUUUAAUUCUUUUAUAAUAUUAAUAAAGAAUAUUUGAAAUAUGAUUCACAAGUAUUUGUCAAUGUCAGAAAAUUUGUAAGAAAGCAAAUUAUUUAACUAAAAAUAACUUGUGUGGAUGUCAAUAAUUGAAAGUGCUUUCAUAAAAAAAAUAUAAAAUUUGAAAACACUUUUGAAAAUCAAAAAAUCGUUUUCUAUUUUUUGUUUCAAAAAACAAAAUAUAGUGUUUUUGGUUUUUAAAAAUAGAAAACAAAAUAUUUUUAUAUAUUAUCUUUUAAUUAUUUUUAUUUAAUUAUUAUAUAUAAAAUAAUUAAAAAUAAAACAUCCCAUAUAAAUUAUAUUUUUAAAGUAUAUUUUAAAAUAUUAAAAACAGAUUAAAAGCAUUCCCAAAUCAACCUCAAGGUUUCAAAAAUUGUCAAUUAUUUUUAAAAACAAUUUUUUAAUUUUUAGAAAAAAAACAAAAUGAAAGAUUUUUUUUUAUAUAAAUAUAAAAUAGAAAAACAUGAUGUUUUAGAGAAAUUUUUUAAAAUUUAUUUUUACUUGUUUUUUUGAAAUUUAUUUUAAAAAUAAUUACGAAUAAUUAAAAAAAAAAAGUAGCACAUCUAAAACUGUCGUCUAAAAGUGUUUUGGAAAUUAAAAUGCUGCUCAGACUGAGUGUAAGGGAUUCACCAUAAAGGGGAGGACUAAACAAGGAAUAAAGGAUGCCCUCGAGAAGAUGCUUUAGCUAAAAGAUAGAAAAGGAUAAAUGCAAUGGUCAUCAUGGUCCUCGCAUAUAAUAUCUACGUGUCAUCUUCUUCAAGAGGCGAAGACCAGCAACCCAUCUUUAAAGAAGACAAAUUGAAUUGAACUAGCUGGUUGAUUAGAACCUUUACCUUGUAGCUGCCAUCACAAGGUCCUUGAUCUUCGUCUUCUGCUCAUCAGACUCUACACUCAGCACCUGCAACUCACCCCCCAAAACAACAACAACAAUCACUGCUCAGAAUCCAUAAGAGGAAGCCCAGAAAAAAUAAAAUAAAAUUUGAUGCUCUGUCUGUCUUUGUUUUGAAUUAUGCACCUGAUUGAUCAUAAAAGAAGCUUGGCUCCAGUGAAAUGCAAAAUAACUAAGGAUACACCUCUCAAACUCCUCUACCAGUUUCAUGUAGAGAGACUUUGCGUCUGUUAGGCUUGAAAAGUACUCAUAGAUGUUUUGAUCGCACCCUUUUGAUUUCUUGAGAUAAUCAUAAGCUAAUUUGCAGAACCGGGGACACUCAUCUGGGUCUGGAAAUCCCAUUUGCCUAGCUGCAUACCAGACGGUUAUGUGUAUUUGACAAAUUAAGUAAGCUUCUUCAGGCUAAGGUAGUUGUGGUUUUAUCUUUAUCUUUAUCUUUACCUACGUAAUGGGCGAACCUUUCAAUCUUUCCGACACGGCCGGACCCGGUUCUCACCAGGCGUGGAGCAAAACUCAGAUCGUUCUCCGGGUUAAUCUUCCGCCGGCGGUAAUGGAUGGCUGCCUUGACCAUGAAUCCCAGAGAUGAAGCCAAAAGGAGUGUGAGAAUAACUUUGCCGUGAACAUCUGCAACAAGUUAAGAAGUUAAGGUCACUGUCAGUGGUUUAAGAUCAGAUGGACUAAAAGAGACACAGAGAGAAAGAGCUGGAGAGGUCGGAUUACCUAGCUGCAGCAUCUUGAAAAGGAUUCUGAGGGGAGGAUAUUGAAGGAAGGUAUGAGGCUUUGGUUUCAUUUAUAGCCCAACAUUACUUUUUGGUCUCUCCAGGGGCCUUGAUUCACCUACUGUGAGAAGCAGCCCCUCCCAACUCCACUGCCUAUACACAAUUUAGGAAAAUCCAUAAAAAAAAACUUAUGCCAUACGCCCAUCGCUUUCACCAAUUAAGGUUUCAACAAACAUCACCCAUGGAAAAGAAAAGUCUGACCAUAAAUAUCAACCACCAUCCUCUCCUUUUUACUCCAACUCCUACUCCGCUAUCCACCAGAAUUUGAAAAGAAAACUACACCCCGACACUUUAAUUAUGUAGUUGAGUAUAGUAAGGACAUAAUCCGAUUCGUAGGGAUUUUUCUUAAUAGUACGGUAAUUUAAAAAAGUUAUACUUAAAUUAUUGUAGUAAAAGAAGUUAUUACAAAUAUAUGGUAGUUUUUGCCACCUAGGAGAGAGGAGAUAGGAGAGAGGAGAGAGGGUGAAUGGAUAAAUUUUUUUUUAAACCAAAAUCGUCUUUUCAAAUUUCAAAAGACGAAAUUGUCUUUUCAAAAGACGAUUUUUAAAAAAUUUCAAAAGGGAAAUCGUUUCUUCAAGAGACGAGUUCCCAUGAAAAAAUAUAUAUAUUUUUUCUAAAAAUAAUUCCUAAAUUAAAAAAAAAAUUCCUCGAGGAAAGAGACGAGUUCCCAUGAAAAAAAUAUAUAUUUUUUUUAAAAAAAUUCCCAAAUUAUUUUUAAAAAAAAAAUUCCUCAAGGGAAUUCGUCUCUUGAAAAGACAAGUUCCCAUUAAAAAAAUAUAUAUAUUUAAAAAAAAAAGAGACGAAUUCCCAAAAAAAUUCCCAAAUUAAAAAAAAAAAAAACAACAAUUCCUCGAACUCGUCUCGUCUAUUGAAGAGAUGAGUUCCCUUGAGGAUUUUUUUUUUUUAAUUUGAGAAUUUUUAAAAUAUAUAUAUAUAUAUAUAUAUAUAUAUAUAUAUAUAUAUAUAUAUAUAUAUAUAUAUAUAUUUUCAUGGGAACUCGUCUCUUGAGGAAUUGUUUUUUUUUUAAUUUUUUUUAUAAUAAUUUGGGAAAUUUUUUUUUUAAAAAAAAUAUAUUUUUUUUUCAGGGAACUCGUCUCUACGAGUUCCCUUGAAGAAUUUUUUUUUUUUUUUUUUUAUAAUUUGGGAAUUUAAAAAAAAAAAAAAUUUCAUGGGAACUCGUCUCAUCUCUUCAAGAGAUGAGUUCCCUUGAGGAAUUUUUUUUUUAAUUUGGAAAUUUUUUUUAAAAAAAUAUAUUUUUUUUCAUGGGAACUAGUCUUGAGGAAUUGUUUUUAUAUAUUUUAUUGAACUCGUAUCUUGAAGAGACGUCUUCUUAUUCUCUCUCAUGCGUAAUACCCAUAUUUUUCCUUGACUUUUCCCCCACUCAAAUAUCCUUCCAUCCUCUCUCUUAUGCAUGCAGCCACAUGUUUUGCUCCCAAACCUAUUUAAUACGUGGGGACCACAUGUUUUGCUCUCAAAUCUCUUAAAUAUAUGGUGGUCCCGGGUGAUUUUCUUUUCUUUGCCAUCUAACCACUCCUAAUAACAAAGUUCCCUUGAGGAAUUUUUUUUUUUUUUUUAAUUUGAGAAUUUUUUUUCAUGGGAACUUGUCUCUUUAAUAGACGAGUUCCCUUGAGGAAUUGUUUUUUUUUUUUUUUAAUUUGAGAAUUUUUUUAAAAAUGUAUAUAUAUAUUUUUUCAUGGAACUCAUCUCUUGAAGAGACGAGUUCCGUUGAGGAAUUGUUUUUUUUUUUUUGGGAAUUUUUUUAAAUAUAUAUAUAUAUAUAUAUAUAUAUAUAUUUCAUGGAACUCAUCUUUUGAAGAGACGAGUUCCCUUAAGGAUUUUUUUUUUUUUUUUUUAUAAAUGAGGAAUUUUUUUUAAAAAAAUAUAUAUAUUUUUUCAUGUAACUCGUAUCUUGAAGAGACGAUUUGUCUUUUGAAAUUUGAAAAGAUGAUUUUGGUUUAAAAAAAAAAAAAAUUCCGUUCACCCUCUCUUCUCUCUCUUAUCUCCUCUUUCCUAUGUGGCAAAAACUACCAUAUAUUUGUAAUAACUUCUUCUACUACAAUAAUUUAACCACACUUUAAUUAUGUGGUUGAGUAUAGUAAGGACAGAAUCCGAUUCUUAGCUCAUGAUGUCAUAUAUGACAUUAUUACUGUUGAUUCAAAUUCCGGGGGAAUGGUAAUAGAACAGUUUUUUCAAAUAUCAACUUUAGGAUAAGAUUGGAAUAAAUAUAAAUGAGUUUAGGCAAGUUUGAGAAAUUUGUUAGGACUCGGGAUGGAUUCAGAUGUAAUUUUAUUUUUGUUCACCUUUAAUAGGAUGACGUUAGGAUAAAUAUAAACAGGUUUAGAAUAGGUUCGAGAAUUGUUUUAAAAGGUUUAAUCAUGUAUGACUUUAACUUAUUCGAAUUAUAUAUAAUAUUAAAUGAAAAUUUAUUUUAAGUAUUUUUUAAUUUUUAAUUUUUUAAUAUAUAUAUAUAUAUAUAUAUAUAUAUAUAUAUAUAUAUAUAUAUAAUAUUUAUUUAGUUAUAAAUUAUACUUAUUUUAAUAAAAUUUAAUAUUUUAAAAGUAAACUUUUUUAAAAAUAUAAAAAUUAAAAAAAAAUUUAAAAAAUUAAACCGGACACAACACCACAUGUAUGAGAAUUUCUCAUAUCUGUCUCAUCUUUUAUUCAAUUUUUUUUUGUUAAUAAACAUAAGAAUUAACUUAAAUAAACGAAAUGGGAUUUCAAUGAGAUUUUUGAUAAGAGUACAACAAUUUUAAAAAAUAAUUUCUAAAUUACAGUAGUAGGAAAAAUAAUUUCAAAUUUACCGUAGAUAUGUCCAAAUAGAAAAGAGAAAAUAACUUGUAAGUGAAAAAUCGUCUCUUCAAAAGACGAUUUUCACAAAAAAAAAAUAAAAAAUAAAAAAAUUAAGAAGUGAAAAAUACGAUUUCCACAUAAAAAAUAUAUAUAUGUGAGAAAUUCUCACUUCAAAGAAAAAAAAAAAAUCAAGUGGGAAAUCGUCUCUUUAAGAGACAACAACAAAAGUGAGUGUGAAACCAAGGUUUGGUUAAUCUUGAUUUUGAUGAUAACAAAACAAGGUUUAGAACUAAUGACUAAAUUUUAAGUGUGAUUAAGCAAGAUGACUUCUAAAAUGGCAAUCCAAAGACAAAUCAAGCCAAGGAGAAAUCAUGAAGAAGAAGACCACCUCAAAGAGAAGAGUUUUUCAAGACCAAAGCUUCUUAAGUCUCUUUGUAAAGUUGUUGGUGCACUAGGAUUUCCAUGCAUUAUUUUCCUUACUUAUGCACCUAAAUCAUCCAAAAGUUAUAUAGUUUUAAAUAUUUUUAAAAUUGGAUGAUUUCAUGUUUUCAACUAAAACCUUGUGUUAAAUAUUGUUUCAAACUUGUUUAAAAGGUUAUAAGUUGGAAAAGUUGGUUGUUGAGCAAAAAACGACUCAAUUGGCUAAAUCGGGUGAACCGGAUGAACAGUAACCGGUCGACCCCUAGCUCAACCGGUUGAGGGUAUGAACAGUAACCGGUUGACCCAUGAACGGUACCCGGUCGACCGGUACAAAAUUUUCUCUCUCUUCCAGAAUGCUUGUUCAACCGGUUGAGGUCCGGUCGAGGCCUAACGGUCACCUGCCAACAUUAAAUGCUAACGGCUAGUCAACCGGUCGACCCAUAGCUCGACCGGUCGAACCUCCAACGGCUAGUUUAGUUUUUUUCUUCUAUAAAAAGGCUCCAAUCUUCAUUGUUUCAUUAGCUUAACCUUCCCAAAUCAUUCUUGAUUAUAUUUGAGCCUUAGAAGAGUGUUUUUGAGUGCACCAUUGUUUCAUAACUUGCAUAUCUUUAGUGCACCAUUCAAUCCUAGUUUUUCUUGUAUCAUUUGAGCUUAAAGCUAAUACUAGGAUUUUGUGAGAUCAAUCAUUUCUAAACCUUGAGAGGAAGUUUCAAGAGUGGGAUAUCUCUUGAGAAUUGUAAAAGGUGCUUGGAAGCCAAAAGUCCAAGAGGGUGAAUUGGAACCAUAAUCCAAUUGUAAAGAGAUUGGAAGCUUGGUUGAAGCUUCAAGAUAGUGGAACCCUCACUCGGUUAGGAGGUUGAGGAGAGUGGACGUAGGCAAGGAAGUGUCGAACCACUAUAAACUCUCGUGUUUGCACUCUCUCUUCCCUAACUCUUUUAAUUUAUAUGCAAUUGUCUUUAUUUUGCUUAUCAUAUACUUGCAUAUAAAUUGUCUCUUAUUUUUACUUAGUUUAAUUUUUUUUUUUUAAAAAAGACCAUCACCCUAUUCACCCCCCCCCCCCCCCCCCCUGGGGGGAUAUUAAAAGGUGGGAUUAACCCCAAUUUUUUAAAAGGGGAAAAUUUCCCUUUAAUUUGGAAAAAAAACCCCCAAAAAGGGGAAAAUUUCCCUUUAAUUUUGAAAAAAAAACCCCCCAAUGGGGAAACUUCUUUUUGAGAAAAGAAUUUCCCCCCAAAAGGGAAAAAUUUCCCUUUAAAAAAAAAAAAAAAAAAAAAAAAAUCAAAAAAGUCCAGGGGGAAUUCUUUUUUUCGAAGACCAUUUUUUUUAAAAAGGGGAAAAUNNNNNNNNNNNNNNNNNNNNNNNNNNNNNNNNNNNNNNNNNNNNNNNNNNNNNNNNNNNNNNNNNNNNNNNNNNNNNNNNNNNNNNNNNNNNNNNNNNNNCCCCUCUUUUUCCCCAAACUUUUUUAAUUUAUAGCAAAUUGUUUUUUUUUUGCUUUUAAAAUACUGGCAUAAAAAUUUUCUUUUUUUUUUACUUGGUUAAAUUUUUUUUUUUAAAAAAAGCCCCCCCCCUUUUUCCCCCCCCCCCCCCCCCCUCUAGGGUGAUUAUCAUAGGUUGGAUUAACCUCAAAUUUCUAACAGUGAGAAAUUCUCACUUAAAUUGAGAAAAAAAGCACCUAAAAGUGAGAAAUUCUCACUUAAAUUGAGAAAAAAAAGCACCUAAGUGGGAAAUCGUCUUUUGAAGAGACGAUGUCCACACAAAAGUGAGAAAUUCUCACUUAAAAUAAAAUAAUAAUAAUAAUAAAUCAAAAAAGUCCAAGUGGAAAUCGUUUUUCAAGAGACCAUUUAUUUUAAAAGUGAGAAAUUCUCACUUCAAAAAAAAAAAGAAAAAAAAGAACACUUAAAAUAAAAUAAAAAUAAAUCAAAAAAGCCUAAGUGGGAAAUCUUCUCUUGAAGAAAUUGAGAAAUUCUCACUUCAAAAAAAAAAAAAAAAAAAACCCUUCAAAAAUCCAUUUUUUCAUUCUUUAUUCUAUUUAUAUAAUACAAUUAUUAUAAAUAUAUAUUAUAAUUUUAUUUACUAAAUUUAAUAUAUAAAUAACAUACUAAAUUUAAUAUAAGAUAAAUAACCUAUUAUUUUUUUUCUCUUACUUGGAAUUAAAAAAAAAAAACUAUUAUCAAUUUAUGUGAAAAAUGAGUUUUAAAAAAAAUUGUUAUUAAUUUAUUAAAUAAUAAUUUAGUUUAUUAUUUAAAAAAAACCCAAAAGGAAAAUUGUCUUUUGAAGAGACGAUUUCCAUAUCACCUUUAAAAGUGAGAAAUUCUCACUUCAAAAAAAAAAAAAAAAAACCAAUCAAAAAUCUAUUUUUUCUUUUUUUUUAUUCUAUUUAUACAAUAAUACAAUUAUUAUAAAUAUAUAUUAUAAAAUUAAUUAAUUUUAUUUACUAAAUUUAAUAUAAGAUAAAUAAUCUAUUAUUUCUUUCUCUUACUUUGGAAUUAAAAAAAAUUAUUAUCAAUUUAUGUGAAAAAUGAGUUUUAAAAAAAUUUGUUAUUAAUUUAUUAAAUAAUUAUUUAGUAUAUUAUUUAAAAAAAGCGCAAGUGGGAAAUUGUUAGAUAUUUUCAUACAUGGCCCCACCCUUCUAUUAUAAAUUACAACCAAAUCCCAUCGUCACUUUUUUUAAAAUAAUACAUUUCCCUCCCUCCACACACUUCUUUAGGAUUUCUCACUUUUAAAAGGUGGUGUGGAUAUCGUCUUGGGCCUUUUUUAAAUAAUAUACUUAAUAAUUAUUUAAUAAAUUAAAAACUGUUUUUAAAACUCAUUUUUCACAUAAAUUGAUAAUAAUUUUUUAUUUAUUUCCAAAAGAAAAAAAUAAUAGAUUAUUUAUUUUAUAUUAAAUUUAGUAUCUUAUUUAUUUAUUAAAUUUAAUAAAUAAAAUUAAUUAAUUUUAUAAUAUAUAUUUAUAAUAAUUGUAUUAUUGUAUAAAUAGAAUAAAUAAUAAAAAAGUGGAUUUUUGAAGGGUUUUUUUUUUGAAGUGAGAAUUUCUCAUUUUUAAAAAAAAUCUUCUCUUCAAGAUAUGAUUUCUCAUUUGGGCUUUUUUUAUUUUUUAUUAUUAUUAUUAUUUUAUUUUAAGUGAGAAUUUCUCAUUUUUAUAUAGAAAUAAUCUCUUCAAGAGACAAUUUAACACUUGGGUGUUUUUUUUUUUUUUUUCAAUUUAAGUGAGAAUUUCUCACUUUUGUUGUCUCUUAAAGAGACGAUUUUCCAUUUGGUUUUUUUUUUUUUUUUUAAAGUGAGAAUUUCUCACAUAUAUAUUUUUUUAUAUGGAAAUCGUUUCUUUAAGAGACGAUUUCUCACUUGAUUUUAUUUUAUUUUUUUGAAAUGGUCUCUUAAAGAGACGAUUUUUUACUUCUUAAUUUUUUUUUUUUUGUGAAAAUCGUCUUUUAAAGUGACGAUUUUUCACUCACAAAUUAUUUUCUCUUUCCUAUCUGAACAAAACUACGGUCGAUUCAGAAUCAUUUUUCCUAUUACGGUAAUUUAGAAAUUACUUUUUAAAAUUGCCGUACUUUUAAAAAAAAUCCGAUUCCAAUGACGCAGGUCCCAAAACGUCACCGUUGCAAACCCAAACCAUAUUCUUCAAAGUUCGGAUCAUUACACCCACAAGCCAUGUUAUAAAGAAUCAUCCAACUCAUUUUAUUUAUUGAAUCACCUUUUUCUUUAUUGAGUGGACCAACCAUGUAAUUAUUCUGACUUGAUUUUUGACCUUUCCAAUAUUUUAUAACUUAUAUCAUAUUCUUUAGCUUUGGUUGCUUCUCAUUUAAAACAGCAAUUAAAUUUAAUUUUUUUAUUAUUAUUUAACGCGGGGAGAAAAUUGGGUAUUUUCUUUAAAAAAAAAAUUACUAAAUUUCAAGAAAAUCAAAUAUAAUUUUGACCAAACGAUAAGACAAAGGAAAAGGUAUCAUGCCACCGACAAUCAAUUUUUUCGAUAUCAAGGAAGUGAUCGAAUCAUGUGACUUUAAAAUAUGAAGAUUUCAAAUUAAAAAAUAAAAUAAAAUAAAAUGCAAAUAGUGAUAAUGAAUGACCUUUCUAUAUAUAAGUCAAGACGUGAAGACAGCUAGCUUCACCUACUAAAGAUGAGAAAUCAACAAUUUAAUAGUGAAGAUUUCUAUUCUUAUUAAAAAAAUCUCAUUAUAAAAAAUAUAAAAAAUUAUGGGUCUCCAUAAAUUUCUUGAUUUUUAUUUUCUAAUAAUUUCAAUAUAAAAUUUAAUUAUUUUAUUUUAUAUUAAAAAUAUAAUGACUUUUUAAAAAUUGAUUAAAAAAAUUUUAUUCUCAAAAUUUUAAAAAUAAUUUUUAACUAUAAAAAAGUCAAAUCAUUUGAUUUAUUAAGAGGAUUCGUACAUUAUAAAUAGUGAAGAUGAAUUUGUAAAGUUCAUUAAUUAUUAUUUAUUGUUAAAUCAUAAAGAAAGAAUUGUACGACUAAAUCGAAAAAAUCAAUCAACUAGGAUCUGUUUGGAUGGUAGCAUUUCGAUGCGGACAAGGAUAAUCACAUGAUGAACAAGGAUUUGAAAAAUGUUACCAGGAAUAAAAGGAAAUCAAAAGAAAGACAUAGGAAUUUGGGCUUAAAUUGGUUCACUGGUUCUCUGGUUCGACCGCCGAUUCCAGCGAUCCGACACUGGUUCAAAGCUCUCGACUCAAAUGGCUAAAUCGAUUGUCCGAUCCGAUUUUUAAAAACAAUGAAAAUAAGUGUAAUUCUUUUAAAAAAUAAAAAUAACUAUUUUUUUUUUUACAUGGAUAAAUAAGUCCUUAAUUACUAUCAUGAUAUUUUAGACUGCUUUUGUUUAAAUUCUCUAAAUUAUUGGUAUACCUUUUUAGUUUUGAAUUAUUUUUAAAAAUUAUUAAAAUCAUUAAUGAAUCAAAUAUAUUAAGCUUUAUAUGAUUUUAAGUUUGUUUGCCUUGUUGAAAAACUAGAAGAAAUAUUAUUGUAUGUAGAGGAAAAAUUGAUAUAAUCAUUUUGGAUUAAUUUUGAUUCGAGAAAUUUUAGUAUUAAUUGGUUCAAAUUUUGAGUUUUAAAUUAUUUUUAAAAAUUAUUACACAUUUUAAAAAUCCAAUACAUUAAAUCUUAUUUCAUUUGGAGUCCUUUUACCACCUAAUGAGAAAAUUUAAGAAAUUUUGUGAACUCAUUGGACAAAUUACAUUUUUUUCCCAUAAAAUGAAUAGUACAUGUCUAAAUAUGGGGUGACACGGGCUUAAAUAAGGGUUGAUACAUGUGUAAAUAAAGAGUAGCACACUUCCAUACAUUUUCUUAAAUUUUCUCAAUUUUUUUCACUAGGUAAACCAACAUUGAUAAAAUGAAACUUAUGGAUUCUUUCACAAAUAUAUCAAUUUUUAAAAAUAAUUUGGAAUGCAAAAACUAAGACAAUUAAUAUCAAAUUUUCGUGCACCAAAAUUGGUUUCGAAGAGAAACUAAUACAAUUAUUCUUGAAUAGUUUUGUUCCAAGAUAUUCCAGUGUUAAUCGGCUUAGUUUUCAUAUUCUGAAGAAUUUUUGAAAAUUAAUGUACAUGUGAAAGAAUCUCGCUUGAGUUGGAGUUUAUUUAUCAGGUGAUUUUUUUUUUUUUUGAAAAAAUUAACCUAGAUAUUGAAAAGAAAAAAUUUAAAACUUUUUUGGGGAUUUCAUAUAUAAAAAAUAUUGAAGCUUUUUAAAUUAUAUGUAUUUCAAUCUUGUGCUUAAAUAUAAAAUAGUCAAAUUAAGAUAGGCAUGAAGCAAACAUCAAAGAUAUCACAAUCAAUUUGUCAACCAUCUUAUAGUUACCCAAAAAUAAUUAUUAAGCAUGGAAACAUGGUACCAUUGGAUCUUAAUAAUUGUGGCUAUGGCCCAAUAUUGGAAUGUGAGAAAAUGAUUUUGAAACUUGAAAAUGAGAAGUCAUGAAUUGUUAUCCAAAUCCCUCUCUUUUUAUAAAUUCUCCAAGCUAAUUAUGUGAAACAAAAAUUAAUUUAAUUUUGAUAUUUUUCAUUAUGAAAUUAUUAUAAAUAUAUCUUAUAUUAUUCAAAAAUUAUUUUUUGGAAAUAAUAUUUUCUUAAAGAGGAGAAAAAAAAUAGAAAAAAAAAGGAAAAGUAAAAUGUAAAUUUUAGCUUUAAUUUUUUUCCUCAGUACUUUUUUUUUAGAAUUUUUAUGAAGAUUAAUCUUUCAUUUUCUCCUACUUUUAUUUUUUUUUAUUAAACAAUUAAAAAAAAUUUAAACUUAAGUUAGUUUGCUUUUUCCUUUUCUAUUUUUUUUUUCAUUAUUUCAAGAUUCUAGUAAUCCAAGCUUAAAAAUUGACAUUAUAAUUAUUUUCUAAUUUAAAAAAGUGAAAAUAUCACACCAAGCUAUUUGGGGUUAUUAGAGUAUGAUAUUAUUUUUGUUAAAUUCAUGUGCAUUUAUCCACUAAGAUCUUUGAAAAACAAAAAUUUAGAAAAGUACACUUCAUUCAAAGUUUUUAAAAGACCAAAACACACACACACACAAUCCUAUUUUUCAAGUCUCUAUAUUUAACAUUAGCUAAUUAGAAUUUUUUUUUUCUAGAAAUAUUUCAUUUGUUUAUUUUUAAAUGUUUUUCAGAAUAAAAAGCUGAUCCAACGCCAAUAAGAAUCAAACUUAGGGGUGGACAAUUGGUGUGGGAGGUGGCAUAUGGAUGUGCUCCACUUCCUCCUUCGCUGUGAGUUAGUGGCCAACAUGUUUUCUCAUUGCCUUAGAAAGCUUUAAACGUUGUCACCCUGCACUUAGGGCCCAUUUGGUUUAAUACUUUAAAAUUUUUAUUAUUUAAAUGUUAAAAAUUCUAAAAACACUUUUUAAAAUUACUUACAAACACAUUUUUAGUAUUGAUGGACAUAUUUGUAUAGGUAGGGAUGACAACGAGGUAGAAUUGGGAUAGAGGUGUUUAUUCAAAAUAAUUUUCAUUCAUGUCCCAUUUAAAAAAUUAAACGGGGUGGGACGGGUAUGAGAAUUUCUCAUACCAGCUCCACUCCAUCCCAUCCCACCCCGUUUAACUUUUUUUUUUUUGAAUUUUUUUUUUAAAAUCACUUAAUUUUUUUUAAUUACAUUAAAAUAAAUAUAUUUUAUAAAUAAUUAAAUUAUUAUAAUUUUUUAUAACUUAUUUUAUUAAAAAAUAUUUUAUUAUUAUCUAUAUAUUAAAAAUAGUAAAAUAAAAAUUAAUUUAAUUUAAAUUUUAAAAAUUAAUUUUAUAUAUAAUCGGGGUGGGGCAGAACAAGACAAUACCCAAACCCGCCCCGAGUUUUAAAAAAAUUUUUAAACUCGUCCUAAACUUGUUUAAUUAAAAUUGAAAUUUAUCCUAUUAGGGAUGGAGCGGGCGGGUACUUGAAAAACCCCGCCUCAUUGCCAUCCCUAUUUAUGGAAAGCAUAAAAGUACCUUAAUGAUUGUUAUAGGUUGUAAUAGAAAUAAUAAGUUGUGAUAAAAUAAUUAGUUAUUCCCACUAACUUUAACUUUAAUAGAAGGUAAAAAUGAUGAUAGUUGGGGAUGAUUUUUUGACAUUUAUUAUAAUUGGAUUAACUUAAAGGAGGAGAUUUACUGUUAUAUCAAAUCAAGAUCUAGUCAUUAUGGCUAUAAUGAGUGAUGUUUAUCUUAAUUGGUUUGAGUCUUAACAGAAAUUUUAUUACCUGAUUUAAGGAUAAGAUAUUGAAAAAACUGGUGUGCAAGGCAACUUUAGAAUUAUCAUAUUUUUUAUAUUAAUUAAUUAAUUAAUUUUUAUAUACUAUAAUAUAAGUGAUAUAUAAUAUCUAUAUAUAUGAAAGUUUAAUUUAAGUUUAAAAUCUACCACAUUUUCAUUUUAAUAUAUAAUAAGUUGUUUAUAUAUAUAUAUAUAUAUAUAUAUAUAUAUAUAAAAUUUGAAUGCAAUUAAAUCAAGUUCAAAAUCAGCAAUUACGAUUUUAAAUUUAAGUUUCAAACCGUAGUUGAUGAUUAUGACUUUAAAAUCAAGUUUAAAAGUGUAGGUAUCAACUACAGUUUUAAACUUAAAUUUGAAAUCAUAGUUAGUGAGUACGGUAAUGAAAUCAAUUUCAAAACCGUAUUCACCAACAAAAUUCCUAUAACAAGGGCAAUCCCCAUUUUUAUGGUUUUGUUGCCAGAGGUAGUAGAGGUAACGAACGUCACCUCGAGUUUAUUCAUUGUUGGAUUGACCAGUGUCCCCAAUGUGAAACAUGAAAACCGCUUCGAGCAUCCCUACAAUAUAUAUAAAGAAAGGCAAACAAAGAAGGCUGAACUCUCAACUGAGCUUCCGUUGUUGUCUUCAUACUCAAACCACUCAUUCAUAUACAUUGAUAUGAAUCCGUUUGGCAACAACUAAACCUCUUUCAACUAUCUUUUGCAGAGUAUAAUGGAAUUAUGGAAAUCAAUCAGCAUUUUGGAUCAUUUAACUGUAUAUGGUACAAGACACAACAAUCAGGUGAAGAUAUGGCAAAAGACUACUUUUGAGGAAUCAACCAGGAUGUACUCGGCACAAAUCAUUGGAUAAUACCAAACGUACAAGCAAAUAUUGGAGUGAAGCAGUAAAAUCAAAGUUCGUUCGACCACCAUUGAUCAUACGGCGUUCACUUUUUUGCAUUUUCUAUUUUCUGAAUUGACGUCCUCAGGUCCAGAUGAAGGCUCGCCCUGGAAGGUGUCAGAACAAUGUCUUUCCAAACUGAACCCUGUUCAUAUAAAAUUUUUGGCUCCGUGUAAAGCUCGUAGACGUUGUCUGCAUCAUCCUUCAGAGUGCUGACUACUGUCAAACAUUUGAUUUGUUCAGGAUCAACCAGUAGCUUGUUGUCUCCAUCUUUCCAUCCUAUCAACUGUAUUAAUUUGUACUAAUAAAGUUAGUAAAUGACAGUUACAAACAACAAAGGAGUAUGUAGCAAAAGAGUAUAAGCAUUCAGCAGUAGAGUCUAUUCCACAUUAAACUAAAAAGCUAGGCACAAGAUUAAGCAUUAUUACGCUGGGUGGGCCGCCCAUGGCAUUGGUGCAAUAGAGCCUGGCAUUAUCAACAAGUUGGCAGUAUCUCUGAAACGCACUUGCAAAUCUCUUGUGGGAUUUCAACUGUGAGUUCACCCUCACUGCUCGUUUUGUCAUUAUAGCUCUCCUGUUUCAAGUAUAAAAUAUAUGACCCUGUCAGUUUUGAAUGAUUUGCACACUAGCUUAAGUUGCCUUAGUAGCAUCUCAAACUGAAAAAUGGCAUAUUUAAUGUAUCUCAUCCAGACAAUCCUGUUCCUCUUAACAUAAAAAUGUUGAAGUUCAUACAAAAUUUUACCUGAUGCCUCUAACAACUGCUAGAUAAGGAUCACAGAUCACUCCAACCAACUCUAUUCUGUAUGGUUUCCUUUCUACAUGUCCAUUUUCGUUUUGUUGCUCUUCCUCUUCUUCUUCUGGUGGUAUCUGUUCCCAGUAAUUUUCAGUGACAGUUCCAUCCUCUGCCACCUUGUAGCCUACCCCCAUUCGAUAACGGCAUUUAUGGACAUUCCUAGCCAUGGCAAUUGUUUGCUGGACAAAGGGCUCCCAUGAUAA
rnacentral:lncRNA from 1 species